rnacentral:rRNA from 1 species
GUUACACCAGAAAAUUAAGUCAUAUUUUGCGGUAAAAAGGCAGUUAGACUAUCAUCUAAAGUUCUACAAUCAUUUAUAAAAAAGUAAAAUUUAAAUAUAAAUAUAUAGCCUAACAAUAACUGAUGAAGUUGAAUCUGCGACAGCCUUGAGGGAAACUGGGAUUAGAUACCCCACUAUUCUUGGCUGUAAAUUUAAUAAAAUUUACCAGAGAACUAUGAAUCUCAAAAAAUUUAAAACUCAAAGAGCUUGGCGGUGUUUUAGACCACUCAGGGGAACCUGUCCCGUAAUCGAUAAUCCACGCUAAACCUAACCUUCUUUCGCUAACCAGUAUGUAUACCGUCGUCGUCAGGUAACUUUCAAAAAACUAGAAGUUAGCUAAAAACAAUAUAAGUUUAAACGUCAGAUCAAGGUGCAACUCAUAAGGAGGAGAGGAUGGGUUACAAUUAUACAAUUAUAAUUACAGACAAUUACAAUAACCAGUAAUUUAAAGGAGGACUUGAAAGUAAAUUAAAUUAUAUAAAUAAUUUGAAUGAGGCUCUGAAACGUGCACACAU